UACGGGGGGGCAAGCGUUGUUCGGAAUUACUGGGCGUAAAGGGCUCGUAGGCGGCCAACUAAGUCAGACGUGAAAUCCCUCAGCUUAACUGGGGAACUGCGUCUGAUACUGGAUGGCUUGAGAUUGGGAGAGGGAUGCGGAAUUCCAGGUGUAGCGGUGAAAUGCGUAGAUAUCUGGAGGAACACCGGUGGCGAAGGCGGCGUUCUGGACUGCAACUGACACUGAGGAACGAAAGCCAGGGGAGCAAACGGG
rnacentral:rRNA from 1 species